UACGAAGGGGGCUAGCGUUGCUCGGAAUCACUGGGCGUAAAGGGUGCGUAGGCGGGUCUUUAAGUCAGGGGUGAAAUCCUGGAGCUCAACUCCAGAACUGCCUUUGAUACUGAGGAUCUUGAGUCCGGGAGAGGUGAGUGGAACUGCGAGUGUAGAGGUGAAAUUCGUAGAUAUUCGCAAGAACACCAGUGGCGAAGGCGGCUCACUGGCCCGGUACUGACGUUGAGGCACGAAAGCGUGGGGAGCAAACAGG
rnacentral:rRNA from 1 species